ensembl:misc_RNA Metazoa_SRP Metazoan signal recognition particle RNA
GUCAGGUACCAUGGUACCUGUAGUCAUGGCUACUUGGAGGCUAAGACAGGAGAAUCACUUGAAAACAGGAGUUCUGGACUUCAGUGCGGUAUGUCACCCGGUGUCCACACUAAGUUCAGCCUCAAUGUUGACCUUGUGGGAGGAAGAAACCACCAGGUUGUCUAAGGAGGGGUGAAUAGGCUCAGGUUGGAAACAGAGCAGAUUAAAACUUCCAUACUAAUCAGUAGUGGCAUCUUACCUGUGAACAGCCAUUGCCCUUCAAACUGCGCAACAUAGGGAGACCUCUAUCCUGU